UGGGGAAUAUUGGACAAUGGGCGCAAGCCUGAUCCAGCAAUGCCGCGUGAGUGAUGAAGGCCUUAGGGUUGUAAAGCUCUUUUACCCGGGAUGAUAAUGACAGUACCGGGAGAAUAAGCCCCGGCUAACUCCGUGCCAGCAGCCGCGGUAAUACGGAGGGGGCUAGCGUUGUUCGGAAUUACUGGGCGUAAAGCGCACGUAGGCGGCUUUGUAAGUUAGGGGUGAAAGCCUGGAGCUCAACUCCAGAAUUGCCUUUAAGACUGCAUCGCUUGAAUCCAGGAGAGGUGAGUGGAAUUCCGAGUGUAGAGGUGAAAUUCGUAGAUAUUCGGAAGAACACCAGUGGCGAAGGCGGCUCACUGGACUGGUAUUGACGCUGAGGUGCGAAAGCGUGGGGAGCAAACAGG
rnacentral:rRNA from 2 species